UAGCGGAGCUGCUUAGAUACUGUUGAAUUAUGCCCAAGAGAACCAGAAAUGCACCGGCAUGGAAGCCGGGGCAAGGAGCUAUCGAGCCAUGGAGGGCGAGUAGCGACGGUUUCGUCUGGCAUAGAAAAACUAUAAGGCAUAAUUCUUACAGUAUCUUGGCAGCAAAGCGU
ncrna:unclassified sequences TwoGGAY RNA